CUGGGGCGGUCGCCUCCCAAAAGGUAACGGAGGCGUUCAAAGCUACACUCAAUAUGGUCAGAAACCAUAUGUCGAGCGCAAAGGGAAAAGUGUGGUUGACUGUGAGACCUACAAGUCGAGCAGGUGCGAAAGCAGGACUUAGUGAUCCGGCAGUUCAUUAUGGAAUGGCUGUCGCUCAACGGAUAAAAGCUACCCCGGGGAUAACAGGGUUAUCUUCCCCAAGAGAUCACAUCGACGGGAAGGUUUGCCACCUCGAUGUCGGCUCAUCGCAUCCUGGAGCUGGAGUUGGUUCCAAGGGUUUGGCUGUUCGCCAAUUAAAGCGGUACGCGAGCUGGGUUCAGAACGUCGUGAGACAGUUCGGUCCCUAUUUGAUGUGGGCGUUGGAAUAUUGAUGAGAGCUGCUCUUAGUACGAGAGGACCGGAGUGGACGUACCACUGGUGCUCCAGUUGUUUCGCCAGAAGCAUAGCUGGGUAGCUAAGUACGGAAAGGAUAACCGCUGAAAGCAUCUAAGCGGGAAGCCUCCUCAAAGAUGAGUAUUCCCUUGAAAUUCC
rnacentral:rRNA from 1 species